rnacentral:tRNA from 1 species
AGUGCUGUGGCACAGCAGGUUAACGCCCUGGCCUGAAGUGCCAGCAUCGCAUAUGGGCGCUGGUUCUAGCCCUGCCUGCUCUA